rnacentral:hammerhead_ribozyme from 1 species
GUACUUCUAACGAGUCCCAAACAGGACGAAACAGCUGUCCGGUAU